rnacentral:rRNA from 1 species
UACGUAGGUGGCAAGCGUUGUCCGGAUUUACUGGGCGUAAAGAGCGCGCAGGCGGUCGUUCAAGUCGCGUGUGAAAUCCCGAGGCUCAACCUCGGGUCUGCAGUCGAUACGAGCAAACUAGAGUGUUGCAGGGGAGACUGGAAUUCCUGGUGUAGCGGUGAAAUGCGCAGAUAUCAGGAGGAACACCGGUGGCGAAGGCGGGUCUCUGGGCAACAACUGACGCUGAGGAGCGAAAGCGUGGGGAGCGAACAGG